rnacentral:rRNA from 1 species
CUACAGGCUUAACACAUGCAAGUCGAGGGGCAGCAUGGUCUUAGCUUGCUAAGGCCGAUGGCGACCGGCGCACGGGUGAGUAACACGUAUCCAACCUGCCGUCUACUCUUGGACAGCCUUCUGAAAGGAAGAUUAAUACAAGAUGGCAUCAUGAGUCCGCAUGUUCACAUGAUUAAAGGUAUUCCGGUAGACGAUGGGGAUGCGUUCCAUUAGAUAGUAGGCGGGGUAACGGCCCACCUAGUCUUCGAUGGAUAGGGGUUCUGAGAGGAAGGUCCCCCACAUUGGAACUGAGACACGGUCCAAACUCCUACGGGAGGCAGCAGUGAGGAAUAUUGGUCAAUGGGCGAGAGCCUGAACCAGCCAAGUAGCGUGAAGGAUGACUGCCCUAUGGGUUGUAAACUUCUUUUAUAAAGGAAUAAAGUCGGGUAUGCAUACCCGUUUGCAUGUACUUUAUGAAUAAGGAUCGGCUAACUCCGUGCCAGCAGCCGCGGUAAUACGGAGGAUCCGAGCGUUAUCCGGAUUUAUUGGGUUUAAAGGGAGCGUAGAUGGAUGUUUAAGUCAGUUGUGAAAGUUUGCGGCUCAACCGUAAAAUUGCAGUUGAUACUGGAUAUCUUGAGUGCAGUUGAGGCAGGCGGAAUUCGUGGUGUAGCGGUGAAAUGCUUAGAUAUCACGAAGAACUCCGAUUGCGAAGGCAGCCUGCUAAGCUGCAACUGACAUUGAGGCUCGAAAGUGUGGGUAUCAAACAGGAUUAGAUACCCUGGUAGUCCACACGGUAAACGAUGAAUACUCGCUGUUUGCGAUAUACAGCAAGCGGCCAAGCGAAAGCGUUAAGUAUUCCACCUGGGGAGUACGCCGGCAACGGUGAAACUCAAAGGAAUUGACGGGGGCCCGCACAAGCGGAGGAACAUGUGGUUUAAUUCGAUGAUACGCGAGGAACCUUACCCGGGCUUAAAUUGCAGAUGAAUUACGGUGAAAGCCGUAAGCCGCAAGGCAUCUGUGAAGGUGCUGCAUGGUUGUCGUCAGCUCGUGCCGUGAGGUGUCGGCUUAAGUGCCAUAACGAGCGCAACCCUUGUUGUCAGUUACUAACAGGUUCCGCUGAGGACUCUGACAAGACUGCCAUCGUAAGAUGUGAGGAAGGUGGGGAUGACGUCAAAUCAGCACGGCCCUUACGUCCGGGGCUACACACGUGUUACAAUGGGGGGGUACAGAGGGCCGCUACCACGCGAGUGGAUGCCAAUCCCAAAAACCUCUCUCAGUUUGGACUGGAGUCUGCAACCCGACUCCACGAAGCUGGAUUCGCUAGUAAUCGCGCAUCAGCCACGGCGCGGUGAAUACGUUCCCGGGCCUUGUACACACCGCCCGUCAAGCCAUGGGAGCCGGGGGUACCUGAAGUGCGUAACCGCGAGGAGCGCCCUAGGGUAAAACUGGUGACUGGGGCUAAG